rnacentral:rRNA from 1 species
UACAGAGGUCCCAAGCGUUGUUCGGAUUCACUGGGCGUAAAGGGUGCGUAGGCGGUCGGGUAAGUCUGAUGUGAAAUCUCACAGCUUAACUGUGAAACUGCAUUGGAUACUAUUCGGCUUGAGAGUUGGAGGGGGGACUGGAAUUCUUGGUGUAGCAGUGAAAUGCGUAGAUAUCAAGAGGAACACCAGUGGCGAAGGCGACUCACUGGACAGGUAUUGACGCUGAGGUGCGAAAGCGUGGGGAGCAAACAGG